GAGGAAAUUAAGCUUCUCUGCCAUGGGAGUAAUCCAUGCUCUCCACACCGCCUUUGGCAUUUUAGGAAUUUUAAAUAGUUUGUUACUCCUCUUGGCGCCUAUGAUUACCUUUCAGAGGGUGAUUAGAAAGAGAUCGACUGAAAUUUUUUCAGGCAUACCAUAUGUUAUUAGUCUGUUCAACUGCUUG